CUUGGAGUGUUUUAAAACAGCCUUCAGGAUGUUGGUCUAAAGUUUGCUGCCUGCACCAGGAACGUUUGGGAAAGCUGCUGAGAUCACCAAGAGAAGAUGGAUGUGAUGGUUUUCUGAGGAGAGGGGGCAGCGUGGAAGUACCUUUCCCUGCCUUCCUUCAGGACGGUGACCUUUUCCACGGGGGGGACGUCGGGUGGACACUGCAGAUGGUCUGGUCAGUGGGAAAGUCAUCCUUUGGUGAUGGAUCAGAAGGCAGAGCUUGCGUGAGCCAAGCCAUGAAGGUUGGCUGCUCACCUUCACCAGAGGAGCUGCCUCCCGUCAGCUGUGUGGGCUGAAAGGGGUCCCUGGAGUCUCUGCUUGGUCUCCUCUAACUAUGAGAGUUCCUUCGGGGCAAGCUCAGAAACAGAUAUUUCAGGUCUGGCAUUUUGUUUUCAUCAAAAUGUUUAUUUUCUAUACCCCAUUGUAUGUAUAAGUCAUUCAGAUGAUUAAAAACCCAUUGUAAGUCUUAUCUUUUAACCAAAUAUUAACCUUGCUUUCUAUGUGCAAGCUGGUAUUAACUCACACCAGCCCUUUUCCUGCGCUCAGAACUCCUAUUCUAAGCCUUUUCUUUAAACCUGUUAUUAAUUCUGCCUUUUAUGUCUAAGCCUGGUACGGCAGCACAAUUAACUGCUUUACUUAACAUGCAAGGUUAGAAGUGAUCUCUAUGAUACCACUGACAUUAAGAAAGUAAAUGGGGUUAAACUGAUUCUUAUUACAAGCUGAUCUUUCUGCAGUCUUUGGUUGGUGGAACCGGCAGCAGACGUGUGUUGCAGAAUUAAUUUUAAGGGAGUUGUAAGAACCAUUGCUACAUAAUGGUGAUAUCAGGGGGGAAUGGAAGAAUCCACACAAGUCUUUAAUCUCCCUCAAGCCAAGAUAUUAAUUGUGCUUUAUUCUGUAGUUUAAAAGAAAUCCUUAAUCACACUGUCAACAUCUCCUUUUGUGCUCCUCAUUUUCUUCUGGUUAUAAAUAUGAAUCAGCUUUUCCUUCAGUAAGGCUGGAGAAGUUCAGGCUCUUCAGUUCACAACCAGCAAGAGCUACUUCUGCUGCAGGAGCAGAACGGGACCUCAGUUCUUGAGCUCCAUGGUCUUAACCUUCUUCGGUGGGGAAUUCAUAGAGAAACAGUCUGUUGAUAUUUUGUCAGGCCUAGCAGAGGUGUUCUGUGCUGAGAUUGGGAGAGAAGUCUCUCAGUGGCUCACUGGUGGAACUGGGGAGCACAUCGGUGACCUGUGUUGGUAAGUGACUGAAACGGUGACUUUCCUCUGCCCAACAAGACACGUCUUUCUAAAAGUAAAACAGAUAAACAGGUAAAUGGCUAAUUCUGUGCUUCACUCUGUGACAAGCAGGAAUUUAAUACAAUUGUAGAAGAAGUAGUAGUGGUUGAGACAGCAGAUGACUAAUGCAUGACUAAGGUUUCUGCAGGAGCUGUGAGGUGAAGGUGACGCUCAGUUCUGGAUUUGGAAGGGCUGUGAUCAGCAGGUCUGCAAAGCCCAGCUGGGAGUUUCAAAAAAACUUGAGAAUAGGGCUGAAUUCCAGGGUUUCAGGGCACAUACCAUACCUGAGUGAGGUUUGUAACAGCGAUGCCAAGGACAUGACAGAAAAACCACCCACUCCCUUCAGGAAGGUGUCUUCCUUUGAAGGGCAGUGCAGCAGGCACCAGGAGAGCUCUGC